GGCUGGUCCGAGUGCAGUGGUGUUUACAACUAAUUGAUCACAACCAGUUACAGAUUUCUUUGUUCCUUCUCCACUCUCACUGCUUCACUUGACUAGCCUUAA
ensembl:Y_RNA Y_RNA Y RNA